rnacentral:sRNA from 1 species
GUCGGCAUUGCUCAUGAGCGCUGAUUGAUUUUGUCGCUCGCUAUUGUCGCAGGCGCUUUCUGCUUUUGACCACGGAUGUACUGGCACUGGCAAAGGAAGUGACGUGACGACGGUCGGUGCGAUUUCGCGCCGGCCUUUUUUGUU